UGGGGAAUUUUUCGCAAUGGGCGAAAGCCUGACGCAGCAACGCCGCGUGGGUGAUGAAGGUCUUCGGAUCGUAAAACCCUGUCGUCGGGGACGAAGGUGGAGGGGUUAAUAGCCUCUUUGCUUGACGGUACCCGGAGAGGAAGCCCCGGCUAACUCUGUGCCAGCAGCCGCGGUAAUACAGAGGGGGCAAGCGUUAUUCGGAAUUAUUGGGCGUAAAGGGCGCGUAGGCGGCUUUUUAAGUGAGAUGUGUAAUCCCUGAGCUCAACUUGGGAACUGCAUCUCAUACUGGGAGGCUAGAGUACUGGAGAGGGUAGUAGAAUUCCACGUGUAGCGGUGAAAUGCGUAGAGAUGUGGAGGAAUACCAGUGGCGAAGGCGGCCACCUGGACAGUAACUGACGCGGAGGCGCGAAAGUGUGGGUAGCAAACAGG
rnacentral:rRNA from 1 species